rnacentral:misc_RNA from 1 species
UCACCAGCAUCACCAGCAUUUUAGUUUACUACGUUUACUCUUGGCUCAUCUUUGACAACCAAGCCAAAUUUUAUUUAUUUUUUAUUAUUUUAUUUAUCAAUUAUACAAUAUUUAUGUUAACAAUAUUUUAUUAGAAAAUUUUAGUUAUUUUUAAUUAUUAAUACAACUGCAAUGAGGCUUUAAAUAAAUGACAAUGUCAUUAUACCAAAGUUUGCAAUUUAUUUACUUAUUUGGUUUGAUUAUUUUGGUAUCUGGUAAUAUUCCAGAAUUAAAAAACAAUGAAGAAACAAAUGAAACAACAAUAUCACAAAUUAAUUAUACAACAACAACAACCACACUUGUUGAAAAUAAUACUGAAUCAUCAACAACACCAUCAUCAGCAACAACAAUAAUACCAAAUAAAAAUGAUACUGAAAGUGAAGAAGUACCAUUAAUUGAUGACAAUGAAUUUUUAACUGAAAUAUUAAAAAAACCAACAACAACAAAAUUUCCAAAUGUUGUACCAAUGACUCCACUUCCACAUACAGUAAUAUUUACAAGAGAAUUUGACAUUGACACAAUACCAAUGUGUGUUCAUAAAUCACCAUCAAAUGAAUCAAAAAUUAUUGAUAAAAAUAAAAAAUUACCAUUUGAAUCAGACAGUGUUGGAUCAGCAAAAACUAAUAAUGGAAAACCAUUAGAAAAUGUUAUUGACUUGGGUGUUAUUGGUGCAACUGAAUCAUCAUUGACAGUAUCAUGGAAAGCUCCAAAUUCAACAGUUAAAGUACAAUAUUAUCUUGUUGAAUGGUUUCGUAGUAAUAUUAUUGUAGACUCAUGUAAAUGUUUCAAUGAUUCACUUGAAUAUACAAUAACAAAUCUUGAAACUUGUACAAAUUAUGGUGUACAUGUUACACCAUAUAUUGGAGGUUCAUUACAUAGUUCAAGAGCUGUCAGUGAAACUACAAGUUUAAAAGUUGGUAAUACUUCAUUGAGUUUAACAGUAUCAGAAAAUAGUUCAGAUUGGUUAAAAAUAAGUUGGAAUCUUCCAAGUACUGAUUGUGUUUUAAAAUAUACAGUAACAUAUUGUAAUUUAACAAUUUGUACAAGUGCUGAUUCAAAUACAACAACAUAUAAUGCAACAAAUUUAUUACCAUGUACAGAAUAUAAUUUUACUGUUGGUGUACAUGGUAAAAGUGGUGAAUUUGAUAAAACAACAAUAAAUACAACAACUGAUUUUUUAUUACCAAGUAUACCAGAAAUAGCAUGGACAAUAUCUGAUAAAAAAUCAUUAGAAAUAUUUUGGUCAUUACCAAUGAGUUCAACUUGUGUAUUAGAAUAUGAAGUUGUAUUAGCAAAAUAUGGUAAAACAAUAACUGAAAGAAUUAAAAAUAAUCAAAUAAAAAUUAAUGAACUUGGUUAUUGUGAUUCAUAUCGUGUUACAAUAACACCAUUACAUAUUUAUGGUAAAAGUCAAUCAGCAAUUAUUGAAAAAUCAAAUACAACAUUUCCUGAUAUUUUUAUACCACCAAAAGCUUUAUUUUUACCAUUAUCAACUAAAAAUAGUAUUAAAAUAAGUUGGAUUAUAACAACAAAUGAUGAAAAUAAUUGUCAAGAAGUUGAUGUAUUUGCAUCUUGUAAUGUUACAAGAAUACUUGGUGUUGGUUAUAAUGGUACUGAUGGUGAAACAAGUGUAACAAUACCAAUUGGUACAACAAAUCAUCAUGUUGUAACAACAAUUGAUAAUUUAACACCAUAUACUGAAUAUAUUUGUCAUAGUUUUGCUAAUAAUUCACAAGGUUCUAGUAAACAAAGUGAACCACAACUUGCUACAACACAACAAGAUUUUCCUUGGUCUCCAACUAUAACACAAGAAAAUGUUACAAAUACUGAAUUUAAACUUGUUUGGAAAGCACCAGUUUAUAUACCAGGAAAUUUAUCAUCAUAUGAAAUAUCAAUUGAUUGUCAGUACAUGUUUUAUCAGCCAACAUUUUGUAAAGAACGUGAUUGUAUUGCUGAUCCAAUUAAAAAUAUUGAAGGAAGUGAAAUUUCAUUUAUUUAUACAUCAGCAGUACCAUAUACAAAUUACAGUAUUAAAAUUAAAGCUGAAACUAAAGUUGGAUGGGGAAAUUAUAGUGAUAUUAUUAAUUUUGUAACAUUAUCUGGAGCACCUGGACCAGUUGUUGAUUUAAUUUUUUAUACUAAAAAUAAUAUACAUGAUUUUAAUUCACUUGAUGCAUAUUUAUCAUGGUCACGUCCUUGUUUUAUGCAUGGAAAAGAAAUUGAAUAUUAUAAUAUAACUGUUAUUGGUGAACGUAAAAAUUAUGAAAAUCAUUAUUUUACAUUUAUUUAUGAAGAUAAUUAUUGUCAAAAUGAUCAAUGUUUAAAACAAUUUAAAUAUGAUACUAAUUUACGAGAAGAAUAUAGUUAUCAUUUUUACGUUGCAGCAAGAGUUAAAGAAUUUAAUGGUCUUGGUGAAACAAGUAUUAAAACAACAGUAUAUCCAGCUGGUAUACCACCUGAACCAGAUGCUAAUUAUACAUCACAAAUAACAAUUGAUCCAUAUUUAGCAAGAAAAACAACAAACACAGCAACAAUAUUGCUACCAUUAUUUCCUGAUAAUGCUGGAACAAUUCGUUGUUAUGCAAUAAUGGUUGCUAGAAUGGGAUUUAUUAAUUCAAGUUAUGGAAGAAUUGAUUUAAAUAAUGGUGAAUGGCCAUUUGCUGCAACAUGGUUUGAAUCAAAACAUGAAAACUUUGAAAUACCAUAUCAAGCAGCUAAAAUUUGUAAUAAUUCUUAUUCAUCUUUUAUUGUGGAUUAUGGAACACUCAAAGCUGUUAAAUUUGUUCUUGGUGAAGACUAUGAAAUAUGUCCUUCAUUAUCAUCAAAUCGUGAUGAACGUUCAUUUUGUAAUGGACCAUUAAAUCCAGAUACUUGGUAUGAUGUUCGUAUCAGAGCAUUUACUAAUGGUGGAUAUCGUGAUUCAAAGAUAUUUACUGUAAAAACAAGUAAGAUAAUAUUAUCAAUACUAAAUAUAAAAGAUAAUGAAUUUAGUGUUGUUCUAACAAUUUUAAUAAUAUUUGGAAUUUUAUGUGUUGGUGUACUUGUAACAAUGAUGCUUUUAAUUAGAAAAUGUUCAUUUCAAAAUUUGAUAAGAAGAUUGAGACACUCUGAUAUGCAAGGUUCACCAGUACCAACACCAUUUAGUAAAAGAAAAUUUAUAACACAUUGUCAACAACUUGCUGAUAAUCCUGGAAAAUUAUCAAAUGAAUUUCAAUUAUUACAAACAUUGAGUGUUGAUUUACAAAUGCCAACAAAUGCAGCAUGUUUACAAGCAAAUAGAAAAAAAAAUCGUUAUACUGAUAUAUUACCAUAUGAUUUUUCACGUGUUAAAUUAAAAUCAAUUGAUAAUGAUCCAAAUAGUGAUUAUAUUAAUGCAUCAUUUAUCAAAGGUUUUAGUGGUAAUCAAGAAUAUAUUGCAUGUCAAGGACCAAAAGAAGAAACAACAUAUGAUUUUUGGCGUAUGAUUGAUGAAAAAGAUGUUAAAGUUAUUGUUAUGUUGACACAAUUAAUUGAAAAUAAUAAAGAAAAAUGUCAUCAAUAUUUUCCAACAAUACGUGAAACAUUUACAUUUGAAAAUAUAUCAAUACGUUGUUCAAUGGAACUUGAUUAUAGACCAUAUACACAAAGAACAUUUAUUCUUCAAAAGGAAGAUAAUAAGAAAAAAACAAUUAUACAUUUACAUUUUAAAGACUGGCUUGAUCAUGAUGUACCAGAAGAUUUUGAUUUGAUGAUUAAUUUUUGUAAUAUUAUGAGAAGACAUAUGACUGCAAGUCCUGGUCUUGCUGUUAUUCAUUGUAGUGCUGGAAUUGGAAGAACUGGAACAUUAAUUGCCAUUGAUAUAUUACUUCAAAAUAUUAAAGAAAAUAGAAAAUUAGAUGUUUUUGGUACUGUUUAUAGACUGAGACAUCACAGAAUAAAUAUGGUUCAACGUGAAAGUCAGUAUGCAUAUAUUUACAAUUGCAUAAGACAAGUAUUAAAAAAUCCAUACUUUUCGAAAAAUUAUAAACCACCAUCAGUUGAUCCAGAAAAUAAUACCAACAACAUGACAACAGGAACAUCUGAAACGAAUCUAGUCAGCAGCAUUGAGACUCAUAACUUAACACGGUAGAAGUAACAUAAGUUUCUUUGUACUGCAGAAUGACAACACAACGACACUAAAACAGCAAUGAGUGAGAAAGAGCAGUCUAUCAACUUCAAUUGAUUCAGCUGAACAACUAUUUAAUUCAUCAUCAUCAAUAUCAAGUAAAGAAUCAAAAAAUUGUUUUACACUUCAAAAUCUUCAUGGA